UAUUUGGAUCCUGGAGCACCGGAUAAAUGAUGAGUUUAGGGCCCACCUAAAUAUCAAGUUAUAACCAUUUUAUGGUUUAGCUUCUCAACAAUGUUCUUUGCCCACAGAGAGAAUACUAUGAGCAUGCUCGGCCGUCUAGUGUUAAUUAUAUGUCUCUUUGUGGUUUUAAUAAUCAACUCCAGUUACACUGCAAGUCUGACAUCAAUCCUCACAGUGGAACAUUUAUAUUCUCCAAUUAAAGGACUUGAAAGCUU